rnacentral:rRNA from 1 species
AUUGAACGCUGGCGGCAGGCCUAACACAUGCAAGUCGAGCGGAUGAAGGGAGCUUGCUCCUGGAUUCAGCGGCGGACGGGUGAGUAAUGCCUAGGAAUCUGCCUGGUAGUGGGGGAUAACGUCCGGAAACGGGCGCUAAUACCGCAUACGUCCUGAGGGAGAAAGUGGGGGAUCUUCGGACCUCACGCUAUCAGAUGAGCCUAGGUCGGAUUAGCUAGUUGGUGGGGUAAAGGCCUACCAAGGCGACGAUCCGUAACUGGUCUGAGAGGAUGAUCAGUCACACUAGAACUGAGACACGGUCCAGACUCCUACGGGAGGCAGCAGUGGGGAAUAUUGGACAAUGGGCGAAAGCAUGAUCCAGCCAUGCCGCGUGUGUGAAGAAGGUCUUCGGAUUGUAAAGCACUUUAAGUUGGGAGGAAGGGCAGUAAGUUAAUACCUUGCUGUUUUGACGUUACCAACAGAAUAAGCACCGGCUAACUUCGUG